ensembl:lncRNA
UGUAAAUUUUGGAAAUCAGCCCUCUAUCAGAUGUGAGGUUGGACUUCUUUGUUCAAUGCAAAAGAAAAGAAAAGAAAACUUUAACAUGUGUGAUUAAUGACUGUACUGUGUGAAGUCACACAGCAUAACGUAUGGGGAGCCUUACCUUUUGAACACCUCAAGGCUUUUUUUUUUUCAAUAAAGCACAAACCAUGGAAACACCGAAUUCACUCUGAAGUGAAGUUUGUCAAAAUCUUAUAAUGGAACAAAUGCAUUGGACCCAUAGGCAUACAACUUUGAUGGUAAGUGACUUUAUUAAUGUAUUAAUAAAUAACACAAGGAGAAAAUUAUAUACUAUAUUUUAUUUCAUACUUACAUAUUUUAUACUACUUAAUGUAUUCAAAUAUAAAUAUAGUCUUAUUUUGACAUUUUGGGUAUGGACAUACUUUAAAACUCACAUUAAUUUUGUCUUUACAUCUUCAAAAUUAUUCUGUGAAGAGUGAAGGACAAGAAUUUUUACAGAUCUGUUUACAGAUAAGGAGAAUAAUUCAAUGGCUUUUCAAAUGUCCUUAAAUGUUAGUGGUUAGGGCAAAGCAAGGCCCAGGUGAUACGUUCCCAUCCUUCACAUGGUGUUGGUCACAUACUGGUGUGGCUCUAGAGCACUCAGAAAAUGUUACUGAUUUAGGGUGAAAGUCUCUACUCAAGUUGAUAAGGAAAUACUAUCUCUUUAUGUAUAUAUGAUGCAUAUUUGUAUGUACCUAUGAUCACCAUCUACAAUUUCUUUGUUUUGUAAUAUAAGCUACACAUCUCAGAAACAUCUGAACUCCUGGUAACUGAUGUUUAUAAAACCAGAAUAUGAAAUGAAAAUGAUUAGUCAACUAUAGUAAGAUGGAGCCGCAGCACUGAGCAAACGUCAUCAACAAUUCUGAAGGUUGACAAGAAUUACAGGCUGCCAAAAAUCGUGUACAGAAUAUUGAAGAAAAGUACAAAUAGCCAACAAAACAAAGCUCAGUUCUCAAAGAUGACAUCUUCAGCAGAUGCAUAAACAGAGGCUGGCAGACUUUUUGUAUAUCUGCACAAUUAUUAAGACUGAAACAAUACUGUGGCAAAUAUGAGCAGAUUAAUAUAAAACCAGGUGACGUGGGACACACUAAAGAGAUGCUCAUUAAGUUCCUCGAGUCAAAGAGCAGAACGACUGAGGCUUCCCAAGCGUUUAACCCAGGGGUACACACAUGCAAAUGUAGGUGAAAGCUAUUGCCUGCUCUUGAGUUUGAAAGCCCUGGUGAUUGCUCUAAUAAAUGCUCGUCUGUCUUUAUCAAGUACUGUUUGAAAGUGCAUCUAGUGAGGCAUGUAUAUUGCUAAUUACAGAGUAUAGGUUCAAUCAAUCUUAACCAACAUUUACUUGUCUUCAUGAAGUUGAAAAGUUCCUCCAGGUGUUAUAUGUCUAGUGACAAGGUAUCACUGUGUGUCACUCAGACUCAUGAGGAACUCACUACUUUGCUCAGUCUGGAUUCAAACUCACAGCAAUUCUCCUGCCUCUGACUCUUAAAUGCUGGGAUUACAGGCAUUAGUCACUAUAUCUGUCUCUGAGCAGUGUUUCCAAAAACAUAUGACUUGGGUAAAAAUCUUACCUGAUGGUUCCAGUAUAAAUUUGAGUGUCAAAAGUGGGAUUAGAGACACUUCUGGAAGGCUGCUUUAACAAGGCUUAGAAGGUAAUUCUGGUGACUACUUUAAGUGCAACUCAGGACAGAGCUGCUGAGUCACACCUGGCUGUAGAGAGCCUCACAAUCCCUGCACUUCCUUCCCUCUAAAUGCUGCCCCAAAUCCCUUAUUUCGGUCUCACUGGAAACUGAUCUCCCUGGUGUAAUAUCCUAAAGCCUCUGCAUCUAGUCUGCUUAAAUUUAUUAAUUCCUUGCAUCUUUUUCUCAUAGGUUCCUGCUUCCAGGCCAUUAAUCAUUUUCACAAUUCUCUGGAAUCUCUCCAUACUCAGUCAGUCACAGAGCCCAAAAUAGACUCAUUAGUGAGUGCUUGACCAGUGCCAAGUCUAAUGAGAUGACAUUUUCAUCUACGCAUGUGAGACUGAUGAUUAAUAAAAAAAAUGACACAAAAAGUACCAUGGUGUCAGGACUUCAGGGAAUGCCUGAUGUGCAGUCUGACUCCCAGCUAAAAAUAAACUUUGU